CACGCCGUAAACGAUGAGUGCUAGGUGUUAGGCCCUUUCCGGGGCUUAGUGCCGGAGCUAACGCAAUAAGCACUCCGCCUGGGGAGUACGACCGCAAGGUUGAAACUCAAAGGAAUUGACGGGGGCCCGCACAAGCGGUGGAGCAUGUGGUUUAAUUCGAAGCAACGCGAAGANCCUUACCAGGUCUUGACAUCCCGAUGCUAUUCUUAGAGAUAGGAAGUUACUUCGGUACAUCGGAGACAGGUGGUGCAUGGUUGUCGUCAGCUCGUGUCGUGAGAUGUUGGGUUAAGUCCCGCAACGAGCGCAACCCUUAUUGUUAGUUGCCAUCAUUAAGUUGGGCACUCUAGCGAGACUGCCGGUAAUAAACCGGAGGAAGGUGGGGAUGACGUCAAAUCAUCAUGCCCCUUAUGACCUGGGCUACACACGUGCUACAAUGGUCGGUACAACGAGUUGCGAGCCGGUGACGGCAAGCUAAUCUCUGAAAGCCGAUCUCAGUUCGGAUUGGAGGCUGCAACUCGCCUCCAUGAAGUCGGAAUCGCUAGUAAUCGCGGAUCAGCACGCCGCGG
rnacentral:rRNA from 1 species